AUGAAGGCCACAGUGUGGAGUUUGUGACUUGUGGAUGUCUUCAGGUUUGGAGAAGUAUUGCUCUGUGGCAAGGUCACUGUUUGGAAAUUUCAUUAAGCUGUGAAAUAAAGUAGCAGCUUUCUGUACUGUGAUUAUAGCCUCCAUUGACAGCUGUGGGCACCUCAUGGUUUCAUAUAGCAGUUGCAUGGCAAACUUGUUUUGGUUUUGGUGCAGGUAUGUACCUGUUGGAUAAUUAGAGGAGCUACUUCAUUCCUAUGGACCCCAAAUCAGAAUUCAGAUAUAUUUUAUACUAACACACUUCAUACAUUUUUAA